AAAAUACUCCCUCUGAUCCUAAAUUCUUGACUCAAAUUUGCUCAAAUAUGGAUGUAUCUAUUCUUAAAAAGUGUCUAGAUACAUGUAAAUUUCGACAACAAUUUAGGAUCGGAGGGAGUACAAA
rfam:Brachypodium distachyon strain Bd21 chromosome 1, whole genome shotgun sequence.